rnacentral:rRNA from 1 species
UCAUGCUACUAGAUGAACCUAUAUUGGAUUAGCUUGUUGGUAAGGUAAUGGCUUACCAAGGCGACGAUCCAUAGCUGGUUUGAGAGAAUGAUCAGCCACACUGGGACUGAGACACGGCAUGUCCAGACUCCUACGGGAGGCAGCAGUGGGGAAUAUUGCACAAUGGGCGAAAGCCUGAUGCAGCCAUGCCGCGUGUGUGAAGAAGGCCUUAGGGUUGUAAAGCACUUUCAGCAGUGAGGAAAGGAGUGUAGUUAAUAACUGCAUUCUGUGACGUUAACUGCAGAAGAAGGACCGGCUAACUCCGUGCCAGCAGCCGCGGUAAUACGGAGGGUCCGAGCGUUAAUCGGAAUUACUGGGCGUAAAGCGCGCGUAGGCGGAUAAUUAAGUCAGAUGUGAAAUCCCUGGGCUCAACCUAGGAACUGCAUUUGAUACUGGUUAUCUAGAGUAUGGUAGAGGUGAGUGGAAUUUCAGGUGUAGCGGUGAAAUGCGUAGAGAUCUGAAGGAACAUCAGUGGCGAAGGCGACUCACUGGGCCAUUACUGACGCUGAGGUGCGAAAGCGUGGGUAGCAAACAGGAUUAGAUACCCUGGUAGUCCACGCCCUAAACGAUGUCAACUAGGUGUAUGGAAGUUUAACUUCUGUGUAUCGAAGCUAACGCGAUAAGUUGACCGCCUGGGGAGUACGGUCGCAAGACUAAAACUCAAAUGAAUUGACGGGGGCCCGCACAAGCGGUGGAGCAUGUGGUUUAAUUCGAUGCAACGCGAAGAACCUUACCUGGUCUUGACAUGUAGUGAACUUUCCAGAGAUGGAUUGGUGCCUUCGGGAACACUAACACAGGUGCCGCAUGGCUGUCGUCAGCUCGUGUCGUGAGAUGUUGGGUUAAGUCCCGCAACGAGCGCAACCCCUGUCCUUAGUUGCCAUCAUUUAGUUGGGCACUCUAAGGAGACUGCC